rnacentral:rRNA from 1 species
GAUGAACGCUAGCUACAGGCUUAACACAUGCAAGUCGAGGGGCAGNGGGAUUGAAGCUUGCUUCAAUUGCCGGCGACCGGCGCACGGGUGAGUAACGCGUAUCCAACCUUCCGUUUACUCAGGGAUAGCCUUUCGAAAGAAAGAUUAAUACCUGAUAGUAUGGUGAGAUUGCAUGAUAGCACCAUUAAAGAUUUAUUGGUAAACGAUGGGGAUGCGUUCCAUUAGGUAGUAGGCGGGGUAACGGCCCACCUAGCCGACGAUGGAUAGGGGUUCUGAGAGGAAGGUCCCCCACAUUGGAACUGAGACACGGUCCAAACUCCUACGGGAGGCAGCAGUGAGGAAUAUUGGUCAAUGGGCGAGAGCCUGAACCAGCCAAGUAGCGUGAAGGAUGACUGCCCUAUGGGUUGUAAACUUCUUUUAUAAAGGAAUAAAGUCGGGUAUGGAUACCCGUUUGCAUGUACUUUAUGAAUAAGGAUCGGCUAACUCCGUG